GUGGGGAAUAUUGGACAAUGGGCGCAAGCCUGAUCCAGCCAUGCCGCGUGAGCGAUGAAGGCCUUAGGGUUGUAAAGCUCUUUCGUGGGGGAAGAUAAUGACUGUACCCCAAGAAGAAGCCCCGGCUAACUCCGUGCCAGCAGCCGCGGUAAUACGGAGGGGGCUAGCGUUGUUCGGAAUUACUGGGCGUAAAGCGCACGUAGGCGGACUGGAAAGUCAGGGGUGAAAUCCCGGGGCUCAACACCGGAACUGCCUUUGAAACUCCCAGUCUUGAGUGCGAGAGAGGUGAGUGGAAUUCCGAGUGUAGAGGUGAAAUUCGUAGAUAUUCGGAGGAACACCAGUGGCGAAGGCGGCUCACUGGCUCGAUACUGACGCUGAGGUGCGAAAGCGUGGGGAGCAAACAGGAUUAGAAACCCCAGUAGUCC
rnacentral:rRNA from 1 species